rnacentral:misc_RNA from 1 species
GAGAAUAUCCUACCGUCUCCUUCACCUCCAACCUCAAGUCGAUACCAUGCUAAUCACAUGAAAUUUAGAGGUACAUUUUCUAGGAAAGUUGAAGAAAAACCUUCUGUUCCAGUUACUGUUUCAGUUACUUCAGCUACACCUCAGAACUCCACGCCUCGUUCCGCAGAGAGGCCUGAAGCAUCACCUUUUGAAAUCCCUCCUGAAACUUCAC